GGGGACGGCGAUCAGCGUAAGUGGCCUCCUGCCCGUUCUCUCCUUGCAUGGGGUGCAAGGGGUCGAGUGUUCGAAUCACUCCGUCCCGACCA
rnacentral:tRNA from 1 species